UACGUAGGGGGCAAGCGUUAUCCGGAAUGAUUGGGCGUAAAGCGUCCGCAGGUGGCUAUGUAAGUCUGCUGUUAAAGAGUGAGGCUCAACCUCAUAAGAGCAGUGGAAACUACAUGGCUAGAGUGCGUUCGGGGCAGAGGGAAUUCCUGGUGUAGCGGUGAAAUGCGUAGAUAUCAGGAAGAACACCGGUGGCGAAAGCGCUCUGCUAGGCCGCAACUGACACUGAGGGACGAAAGCUAGGGGAGCGAAUGGG
rnacentral:rRNA from 1 species